rnacentral:pre_miRNA from 1 species
AGUACAAUUGCUGGGUCAUUUGGUAAGUUCAUUUUUAGUUUUAAGAGGAACUGCCAAACUAUUUUCCAGAGUUUUCUGUACCAUUUUACAUUACCACCAGCAAU